GGAGGUCCGAACCCACGAGCGUUGAAAAGCUCGGGGAUGACUUGUGGGUAGCGGUGAAAUUCCAAUCGAGCCCGGAGAUAGCUGGUUCUCCCCGAAAUAGCUUUAGGGCUAGCCUCAAGGUGAGAGAUACGGAGGUAGAGCACUGAAUGUCCUAGGGGGUAUUGCACCUACCGAAGACUAUCAAACUCCGAAUGCCGUCAUCUUAUACUUGGGAGUCAGACUGUGGGUGAUAAGAUUCAUAGUCGAAAGGGCAACAGCCCAGAUCGUCAGCUAAGGUCCCUAAAUGUAAGUUAAGUGGUAAAGGAUGUGGGAUUGCACAGACAACCAGGAUGUUGGCUUAGAAGCAGCCACUCAUUCAAAGAGUGCGUAAUAGCUCACUGGUCGAGUGAUCCUGCGCCGAAGAUUUCCGGGGCUAAAACUUACUACCGAAGCUACGGCAUCAGUAAUGAUGGGUAGGGGAGCUUCCCAUACGGGUUGAAGCAUGACCGUAAGGACAUGUGGACAGUAUGGGAGUGAGAAUGUUGGCAUGAGUAGCGAGAUGUGGGUGAGAAUCCCACAGGCCGUAAACCCAAGGUUUCCAGGGGAAGGUUCGUCCGCCCUGGGUUAGUCGGGACCUAAGCUGAGGCCGAAAGGCGUAGGUGAUGGACAACAGGUUGAUAUUCCUGUACUACCGAUAACCGUUUGAGAGAAGGGAUGACACAGUAGGAUAAGCUAAGCACACUGUUGGUUAUGUGUGCCCAAGCAUUGAGGCAGUCAAAGUAGGCAAAUCCGCUUUGAUAAUGCUGGGAUGUGAUGGGGAGCGAAAUUUAGUAGCGAAGUAGCUGAUUUCACACUGUCAAGAAAAGUCUCUAUCGAGGUUAAAGGUACCCGUACCGCAAACCGACACAGGUGGGUGAGGAGAGUAUCCUAAGGCCAGCGAGAGAACUGUUGUUAAGGAACUCGGCAAAAUGACCCCGUAACUUAGGGAUAAGGGGUGCCACCAUCAGGUGGCCGCAGAGAAUAGGCCCAAGCGACUGUUUACCAAAAACAUAGGUUUCUGCUAAGUCGCAAGACGAUGUAUAGGAGCUGACGCCUGCCCGGUGCUGGAAGGUUAAGGGGAUCUGUUAGAGCAAUCGAAGCAGUGAACUUAAGCCCCAGUAAACGGCGGCCGUAACUAUAACGGUCCUAAGGUAGCGAAAUUCCUUGUCGGGUAAGUUCCGACCCGCACGAAAGGCGUAACGAUUUGGGCACUGUCUCAACAACAGACUCGGUGAAAUUGUAAUUCCGGUGAAGAUGCCGGAUACCUGCGACAGGACGGAAAGACCCCAUGGAGCUUUACUGUAGCUUGACAUUGGGUCUUGGUACUACAUGUACAGGAUAGGU
rnacentral:rRNA from 1 species